UUGAUAGGAGCACCAGAGAGACAGCAGACAGUGAGAAGACAUGCAGCAAAAUGUCACGAGCGGGAGUCAAUCCCGGGCCGCUGUGUCGGAGACCAGCCACUAUACGUGGUUCACCUGCUUAACCCAUUGAGCAAUACAGCUUUAUUUGAUAGGAGCACCAGAGAGACAGCAGACAGUGAGAAGACAUGCAGCAAAAUGUCACGAGCGGGAGUCAAUCCCGGGCCGCUGUGUCGGAGACCAGCCACUAUACGUGGUUCACCUGCUUAACCCAUUGAGCAAUACAGGAGCGCCAGAGAGACAGGAGAUUGUGAGGAGAGAUGCAGCAAAUUGUCAUGAGAAGGAAUCGAUCCCAGGCCGCUGUGUCGGAGACCAGCCACUAUACAUGGUUCUCCUGCUUAACCCAUUGAGCUAUACAGCUUUAUUUGAUAGGAGCACCAGAGAGACAGCAGACAGUGAGAAGACAUGCAGCAAAAUGUCACGAGCGGGAGUCAAUCCCGGGCCGCUGUGUCGGAGACCAGCCACUAUACGUGGUUCACCUGCUUAACCCAUUGAGCAAUACAGCUUUAUUUGAUAGGAGCACCAGAGAGACAGCAGACAGUGAGAAGACAUGCAGCAAAAUGUCACGAGCGGGAGUCAAUCCCGGGCCGCUGUGUCGGAGACCAGCCACUAUACGUGGUUCACCUGCUUAACCCAUUGAGCAAUACAGCUUUAUUUGAUAGGAGCACCAGAGAGACAGGAGAUAGUGAGAAGAGUUGGGGGAAGACAUGCAGCAAAAUGUCACGAGCGGGAAUCGAUCCCAGGCCGCUGUGUCGGAGACCAGCCACUAUACGUGGUUCACCUGCUUAACCCAUUGAGUUAUACAGCUUUAUUGGAUAGGAGCGCAAGAGAGAGACAAGAAAUAGGGAGAAGACAUGCAGCAAGGGGUCACGAGCGGGAAUCGAACCCCAGCCGCUGCAUCAGAUACCAGCCCCUAUACAUGGCUCGCCUGCUUAACCCAUUGAACUAUACAGCUUUAUUUGAUAGGAGCGCCAGAGAGACAGGAGAUUGUGAGAAGAGAUGCAGCAAAAUGUCACAAACGGGAAUCGAUCCCGGGUCACUGUGUUGGAGACCAGCCACAAUAAGUGGUUUGCCUGCUUAACCCAUUGAGCUAUACAGGAGCCCUGUUGUUUCAUCCUUGUCAGAUGACAUACUAAACUAUGACGGAUUUGGUCAACUUUUUGGACGUCAGACUAAACUAUGACGUUUUUGGUCAUAUUUCGGACGACAUACUAAACUAUGACGUUUUUUGUCAUAUUUUGGACGACAUACUAAACUAUGACUUUUUUUUCAUAUUUUUGAUGACAUACUAAACUAUGACGUUUUUUGUCAUAUUUUGGACGACAUACUAAACUAUUAUGUCAUUUUUAACGACACACUAAACUAGAAAAGCACUCAGAGAAUGCAAUACUCCUCCAAAGCUGCUCAGUUGAUCCAUAUUUUCCAACGGAUGAAAUCUUUAAUAAAAAAUGACCUUGUGCUGACCACAGGCAUGUGUUAUGCAUGUGCACAUUAUGAAUGGCUAUCAAACUGCGUGUAAAUUACUCUUAUAAAUGUCUGUUGAUCAGUACAUCACUUUUGGCAAGACUUUGUUUUGCUUGUGUUACAACAACUGUUCCCUUCAUGCUAUUUUUUUUUCUGAAGUUGUAUUUUUAAUGUUACGGGCUCUUAUUUUGUCAACAUUCACAGGAAGUGCUUAUCUGAGAAGCAUUUUUUUGACAUGACGAAGACACUGCCGAAAAGUCUGAAAAGUCACGUAAAGAUGAAAGAAAACGAUUGAUGGGACUCAGAAACACCCCACAGUUUCAUUGAAUUUGUUCCUUGUAUGAUUUCCAACUGAUAAAUCAGUCAGUUUUAGUAGGAUUGCAAUCAUGCGAUCGUCAGCAGGUAACUGACACAGCGCUCACUUGUUGUCAUGGUUACAGCACCGUGCCAGCAGCUACAUCUCACAAUGGGACAUCCUUAACAAAGCCGUGGAUCCAGACUAUAAGCUGCAUCACUGUGAAAAUUUAAUGAGGUGGUCCUUGUGUCAUUUCUGACUUCCCCUGAAAGUUUUUGAGUAAUGUUUCACACAGACAGACAGACAGAUUCAAAGACAAAAGCAUGCCAAUCAUCACAUAACUACUUGGUUCCUUGGCGUAGUAAUGAUGGUAGGGGUAAAUGCCACCAGGUUUGGUCUCACCUCCUACAUUUUAUUUCAUAUGACCUGAUUAGUGCUCCAUAGUUAUUAUUAUCAUCUGUCAUUAUUCAAUCUAAAUGUUAACGUUAGCUGGUAAAUGGUUGUUUUGUGUUGGUGUGAUUGUUUCUGAACUGAAAAGUCAAUAAAAACUUUGAUUACAAA